rnacentral:rRNA from 1 species
UACAGAGGGUGCAAGCGUUGUUCGGAAUUAUUGGGCGUAAAGCGCACGUAGGCGGAUUGCUAAGUCAGGGGUGAAAUCCUGGAGCUCAACUCCAGAACUGCCCUUGAUACUGGCGGUCUCGAGUCCGGGAGAGGUGAGUGGAACUGCGAGUGUAGAGGUGAAAUUCGUAGAUAUUCGCAAGAACACCAGUGGCGAAGGCGGCUCACUGGCCCGGAACUGACGCUGAGGUGCGAAAGCGUGGGGAGCAAACAGG